rfam:Mustela putorius furo unplaced genomic scaffold scaffold00038, whole genome shotgun sequence.
ACCUGGCUGGCUCAGUGGGAAGAGCAUGAGACUCUUGAUCUCAGGGUCCUGAGUUCAAGCCCUAUGUUGGGUA